rnacentral:lncRNA from 1 species
AAUUUUCUUGAGUAACUUAUUUUUGUGAAAGAAGGCCUCAUGUUUACAUGACACAAUUAGAAGACCUCCAUUUUUAUUUGUAACCACCUUUUCUAGACUCUCGAACGGAGUUAGCUAACUGAAACUAUUUUCGUGUCAAUGUAAUGAGAAAUGACUGAGAUAAUAGCCAAAAACUGGUUUUUUUGAUAUUAAUUUUGUAACCACCUUUUUGAGACUUCUGCACCAGGUAUAAACAAGUUACUACUUUGAGUGUAUUCAUUAAGGUCUCUUAUAUAGACUGUUUAUGGUUUCAUUUUUCUAGA